GACGAACGCUGGCGGCGUGCUUAACACAUGCAAGUCGAGCGGUAAGGCCCUUUCGGGGGUACACGAGCGGCGAACGGGUGAGUAACACGUGGGUGACCUGCCCUCAGCUCUGGGAUAAGCCUGGGAAACUGGGUCUAAUACCGGAUAUGACUCCAUGACGCAUGUUGUGGGGUGGAAAGCCUUGUGCGGCUGAGGAUGGGCCCGCGGCCUAUCAGCUUGUUGGUGGGGUGAUGGCCUACCAAGGCGACGACGGGUAGCCGGCCUGAGAGGGCGACCGGCC
rnacentral:rRNA from 1 species